rnacentral:rRNA from 1 species
GGAGUCUGGGCCGUGUCUCAGUCCCAAUGUGGCCGUUCAUCCUCUCAGACCGGCUACCGAUCGUCGCCUUGGUAGGCCGUUACCCCACCAACCAGCUAAUCGGACGCAGGCCCAUCCUUCAGCGAUAGCUUAUAAAUAGAGGCCAUCUUUCAAGGAGCCACCAUGCGAUGGUUCCUUCGUAUCCGGUAUUAGCACCCCUUUCGGGAUGUUGUCCCCGUCUUUCCGGUAGGUUGCCCACGCGUUACUCACCCGUUUGCCACUAGGCUUUCAUAGCAAGCUAUUCAGCCCCGUUCGACUUGCAUGUGUUAAGCACGCCGCCAGCGUUCGUCCUCGAGCCAUGAUCAAACUCU